rnacentral:rRNA from 1 species
GAUGAACGCUGGCGGCGCGCCUAACACAUGCAAGUCGAACGGCACCCCUCCUCGGAGGGAAGCGCGUGGCGAACGGCUGAGUAACACGUGGAGAACCUGCCCCCUCCCCCGGGAUAGCCGCCCGAAAGGACGGGUAAUACCGGAUACCCCGGGGUGCCGCAUGGCACCCCGGCUAAAGCCCCGACGGGAGGGGAUGGCUCCGCGGCCCAUCAGGUAGACGGCGGGGUGACGGCCCACCGUGCCGACAACGGGUAGCCGGGUUGAGAGACCGACCGGCCAGAUUGGGACUGAGACACGGCCCAGACUCCUACGGGAGGCAGCAGUGGGGAAUCUUGCGCAAUGGGGGGAACCCUGACGCAGCUACGCCGCGUGCGGGACGGAGGCCUUCGGGGCGUAAACCGCUUUCAGCAGGGAAGAGUCAAGACUGUACCUGCAGAAGAAGCCCCGGCUAACUACGUG